rnacentral:rRNA from 1 species
CACGCCGUAAACGAUGCUAACUCGUUUUUGGAUUUUCGGAUUCAGAGACCAAGCGAAAGUGAUAAGUUAGCCACCUGGGGAGUACGUCCGCAAGGAUGAAACUCAAAGGAAUUGACGGGGGCCCGCACAAGCGGUGGAUUAUGUGGUUUAAUUCGAUGAUACGCGAGGAACCUUACCAAGACUUAAAUGGGAAUUGACAGGUUUAGAAAUAGACCCUUCUUCGGACAAUUUUCAAGGUGC